rnacentral:lncRNA from 1 species
UCAACUCAGGCCCUGGGCUGCCUGGAGGCGGGACUUGAACUCUUGCCAGGUUGUGAGGCCAGAGAUGACAGGCUUCUGUCUCUGAAUCUCCAAAGUCUACACCAGAUAUGGUGCCUGACGUCCUCCCUGCCCAUGUUUGGAGAGGAGCCCAGAUGAUCUGGGACAAGGGUUGGCCUGGUCCAGCUCAGCUGGCUGCGAACUCUCAAGUUCAUGCUUUUACCUGCCACAUCCUUGCCUUGAAAGGGCAGGGUGGCUGUAAACUUGGGGCUCAGAAUCCCCUUUAACCACUCCUCAACUUCCCCUCUAAACUGAGAGGGAGACGCUGAGACCUGAGGAUCCAGUCCCCCUACCUGAACUGGAUCCACUGCCCCUAGCUGGUCAAACCCCAGAUUUUGCCGGCUACCCAGGCAAGGCAGAUGCACCCAGGCUGUGGAGAUUGACUGGCCCAGCCCAGCACAGCGCAGCCUCCCACGACCUUCCCUAAAUCAGGGGCCAGAGGCAAAGAGCUCCCAGCAGAAGAGGAGAGGAGGCUGUGUGGUACAAAUUGUUCCUGACAGAAGAAUGCUGCAGCUGAGCCCAUCCUGGCUGGGCCUCGGCCCGGUGGCAGCAUCACUAUGGCUGCUCCUGCUGCUGGCUGGGGCCUCCUGGCUCCUGGCCCGCUUCCUGGCCUGGACCUGUGCCUUCUGUGACAACUGCCGCUGCCUCAAGUAUUUCCCACAACCCCCAAACAGAAACGGUUUUGGGGUCACCAGGACCUGGGGCUGCUGAGAACGGAGGACCCUCAGCAUACAGACCUUUCAUCUGUGGGAGGAACCAGUGCCCAUGUGGACC